UCAUGAGUGUGUGUGAGCAUGUGAGCACACAGUAGAGGGUUGGUUGCAUAAGUUAACUACCAAUGGGUGCUAACCCAUCACAUUAUCCCCCCCUACUGGGGCGAGUGAGGAUUUGUAGGUGUUGAGUGCAGCAGUGUCCUUCAUGGCAGGUGUGGGUUCCCAGGUUGGAUGAUUGUAUCCUACCCAUUUGACAAGAUAUUUGCAGCAGCGACGGCUGGUUCUGUUGUUGAGGAUUGCUUUGAUUUCCCAUUCAAGUUCAUUGUCUUCUUCUACAAUGGCAGGUGGUUGCCAGUUGGAGGUCUUCUGUGAGGGGAACAGGUCCUCAGCCGCGGGUCGGAGCAGGUUUGUAUGAAAGACAUCAUGAAUGCCAGGUGGGGUGUUCAGUUGAUAGUCGUGGGUGCCUAGCACUUCUGUUACCAUAUAUUUGGUGUGGCAGUAGUCCAGUGUAUGUGAAGGGUG
rnacentral:sRNA from 2 species